rnacentral:rRNA from 1 species
AACGAACGCUGGCGGCAGGCUUAACACAUGCAAGUCGAACGCCCCGCAAGGGGAGUGGCAGACGGGUGAGUAACGCGUGGGAACGUGCCCUAAGGUACGGAACAACUCCGGGAAACUGGAGCUAAUACCGUAUGUGACCGAGAGGUGAAAGAUUUAUCGCCUUAGGAUCGGCCCGCGUCAGAUUAGCUAGUUGGUGGGGUAAUGGCCUACCAAGGCGACGAUCUGUAGCUGUUCUGAGAGGAAGAUCAGCCACACUGGGACUGAGACACGGCCCAGACUCCUACGGGAGGUAGCAGUGGGGAAUCCUGGACAAUGGGCGCAAGCCUGAUCCAGCCAUGCCGCGUGAGUGAUGAAGGCCUUAGGGUUGUAAAACUCUUUCGCCGAGGACGAUAAUGACGGUACUCGGAGAAGAAGCUCCGGCUAACUUCGUGCCAGCAGCCGCCGUAACAC